rnacentral:lncRNA from 1 species
CAUCUACACAAAGGCUGUGGCACUGGGUUGUCCUCCCUAGUCUUGAGACUUUUUUAAAGGAAGAGUUGAAUUUGCUGUUGUAUCUAAAACUGGAUAAAGUUUCUCCCAGCAUACAUUCCUUAAUGAAUGAUUAUUCUUAAAAAGAAGGGUCUUCACAUUCUCCACUUGUGUGUGGAAACUAACUGAAUGCUAAGAAAGUGUGGUCAGCUCAGAAUGUUAAUUGUCUCUCUUUCCAAAUUAGUACAUAAUCCCUAUGUUUAGUAAAGAUUUAGUUAGUUAGCUUUGGUUUUGACCGUGUACAUAUGUGAGUGUAUACCACAUGUGUGGUGAUGACUGUGGAAUCCAGAAGAUGGCUUCAAGUUCUCCUGGAAGUGCAUUUAGAGAUGCUUGUGAUCUGCUUUGUAUGUCCUGGGAUCCAAGCACCAGUCCCAUGUGAUAACACUUGUGCCUGAACUAAUAGACCAUCUCUUCAGUCGCCCUAUACAUCAUCUAAAAGCAUUUACAAAGGCUUUUGUGAUUCAUUUUGUUAUGAUCCCCAUGAAGAAUGGACUUUCUAUCUCAUUUGAAAGGGCCACUAAGAGUAGCUUGUACAGCAGAUACCAUCUAACUGCGUUUUGUCCAGCAAUCUGUGCAGGGGACAACAAUUCUAAAUGCUUAAUUCUGCCUCAGCUGGCGAAAGUUGAAUUGCCCUGCUGAAGUCUGGUGCAUUCUUCCUCUCCUUGGUGGUCAAGAAUAAAAUUCCUGUACACUUUUGAAAGUAAAUCAUUUAAAAAGUGUUAGUGAUUUGUGCCCAAAAUGGUUUUUCUUAUAGAAUUGAG